UACGUAGGGUGCAAGCGUUAAUCGGAAUUACUGGGCGUAAAGCGUGCGCAGGCGGUUUUGUAAGUCUGACGUGAAAUCCCCGGGCUCAACCUGGGAAUUGCGUUGGAGACUGCAAGGCUAGAAUCUGGCAGAGGGGGGUAGAAUUCCACGUGUAGCAGUGAAAUGCGUAGAGAUGUGGAGGAACACCGAUGGCGAAGGCAAUCCCCUGGACCUGUACUGACGCUCAUGCACGAAAGCGUGGGGAGCAAACAGG
rnacentral:rRNA from 1 species